rnacentral:lncRNA from 1 species
AAUAACUAGUCAUGUAAUACUAUAAUAAAAUAUAUAAAAUAUUGAUAAUAAGCAUGAAAAAGAGAAAAAUAGAGAUAACUUUUGUAUUGAUGAGAUGAGAAAAAUGAUUACAACCAAUUAUAAUCACUUUUACCAACUAACUCUUGGAGCUGCUUCUCAGCUUUCACCGCCACAUUUGUAAUUCACAUAUGACACGCUAAUGACGAGAGGAAAGAGUUGGAUCAACAUAAUGGUUAUCAAAAUUAGUUUUCUGUUUUUUUAAUUUGUGUCGGGGCUAAAGGUGAACUUUAUUGAAGUUAAUGUAUCGAUAUCGUGGUUGGAAGAGGCGAUUAAUAUGCUUAAUUGCAAGAUGAG